GUCCAGACUCCUACGGGAGGCAGCAGUAGGGAAUCUUCCACAAUGGACGAAAGUCUGAUGCAGCAACGCCGCGUGAGUGAAGAAGUCUUUCGGUAUGUAAAGCUCUAUCAGCAGGGAAGAGAAUGACGGUACCUGACUAAGAAGCCCCGGCUAACUACGUGCCAGCAGCCGCGGUAAUACGUAGGGGGCAAGCGUUAUCCGGAUUUACUGGGUGUAAAGGGAGCGUAGACGGCUGGCCAAGUCUGAAGUGAAAGCCCGGGGCUUAACCCCGGAACGGCUUUGGAAACUGGCCGGCUGGAGUGCUGGAGAGGCAGGCGGAAUUCCUGGUGUAGCGGUGAAAUGCGUAGAUAUCAGGAGGAACACCGGUGGCGAAGGCGGCCUGCUGGACAGUAACUGACGUUGAGGCUCGAAAGCGUGGGGAGCAAACAGGAUUAGAUACCCCUGUACUG
rnacentral:rRNA from 1 species